AAAAGAUGUUAAUAGUAUAUGUGAUGAAGACAUGACUUAAUGAUAUUUAUCAAACAUCACAUAUUUAAGUUAAUAUAUUUAACGAGAUUAGAGUUUGGGUUAAUAUUAUAUAUAAUUUAAAAGUUUAAGGUAUUAAUAAUUUAUUUUAUUUCUUUACAUACGAAUUUGUACAUAUUCCCUAACUUCAUAUAUUAAAUAUGUAAUUAAUCCAUUGUUAACUAUGAAUAUGUUUGCCGAUAAUUUGGUUGCUAUGCUCAUAAAUUUCAAGUAAAAAAUAAUACUUGAAAAAUUAGAGACAAAUAAUAAUUUUAUUUAUCCACUUGUAAAAUACAACCUUUAAAAAUUCUUAAAGCAAAAAUAAAAAAAUUUCUAAUUCUUUUUUCCACAAAAAAUCCAUUUCAAGGCUUUGGAAGACUUGGCCUUGAAUUUAAUAAAUUUGGACUUCACUUAAAGGGUCUUGAUGAUUAGAUCUUGAAUUGAAGAAAUUGGGACUUCACUUUAAGGGUCUUUAAUGACUUAACCUUGAAUAGAAGAAAUUUGGGCUUUGUUUCAAGGUCUUGAUGACUUGAUCAUGAAUUGGAGAAAUUUGAACUUCGCUUCAAGAGUCUUGAUGAUUUGUUCUUGAAUUGAAGAAGUUAAAGACUUAAAUUCAAGGGUUUUGAUAACUUGACCUUGAAUUGAAGAAAUUUUAACUUUACUUCAAGGGUCUUUGAUGAUUUAUUCUUGGAUUGAAGAAAUUUCGACCCAAAAUUUUGGAGUUUCCUUGAGAUCUUCGAAUUUGAUCUCAAAAUUUAAGGAGUUUUGGAAAUCUUGGUAUUUUGUCCCAAUUUAGGGAUUCUUGAUAUUUGGUCAUAACUUUGAGAUUCUUGGCAUUUAGUGUCAAUUUAGGGAUUUUUUACAUUUGAUCCCAAUUUGAGGAUUCUUAGAAUUUGGUCCUAAUUAGGGAUUCUUAGAUCUUAGAUCUUGAUCUCAAUUUAAGGAUUCUUGGAUCUUCAUGCUUUGAUCUUUAGAUUUUCCUUCUUGGAUUUGUUUUCUUGGAAUUCUCGAGACUUUAUUCUUUAGAUCUUCCAUCUUAGACUUGUGGGAAUUCUGAAGACUUUGAUUCUUUGAUUAUUCUCUUCCCAAUUUGCCUUCUUGAUAUUCAAUCCCUAAGAAUUAUCUUCUUAAUAUUCAUAUCUUUAUUCCUUAAGAAUUCUCCAAGACUUCUUUCUUCCUAGAAUUGUGAAUUGUGACUUUGGAAUAGCUUUGUAUAUAUAAUGCUAGCCUACUAGGAGAGAGAGUGUUUUAAAGGAAAUCAAUUUUUUUGAUUUUAUCUAUAAAUAACUAUAGUUUAGUUAAAGAUAAAAAUUGAUUACUCAUGGGUGAGAUCU
rnacentral:lncRNA from 1 species